ensembl:lncRNA
CAGAGCUGGAGUGUAUGGGUGAAUAAACUAGUCAGGGUGCUGUGUGUCAGUCUGUUGGUUAAUAGAGGUCUAGGUGAUAAGGGGAUUAAACUAGUCAGGGUGCUGUGUAUCAGUCUGUUGGCUAAUAGAGGUCUAGGUGAUAAGGUGAAUAAACUAGUCAGGGUGCUGUGUGUCAGUCUGUUGGCUAAUAGAGGUCUAGGUGAUAAGGGGAUUAAACUAGUCAGGGUGCUGUGUGUCAGUCUGUUGGCUAAUAGAGGUCUAGGUGAUAAGGUGAAUAAACUAGUCAGGGUGCUGUGUGUCAGUCUGUUGGCCAAUAGAGGUCUAGGUGAUAAGGUGAAUAAACUAGUCAGGGUGCUGUGUGUCAGUCUGUUGGUUAACAGAGGUCUAGGUGAUGAAGCUAUAAUCACUAAGGGGUCUAGGUGAUGAUAGAGGUCUAGGUGAUGAAGCUAUAAUCACUAAGGGGUCUAGGCGAUGAAGCUAUAAUCACUAAGGGGUCUAGGUGAUGAAGCUAUAAUCACUAAGGGGUCUAGGUGAUGAUAGAGGUCUAGGUGAUGAUAGAGGUCUAGGUGAUGAAGCUAUAAUCACUAAGGGGUUUAGGCGAUGAAGCUAUAAUCACUAAGGGGUCUAGGUGAUGAAGCUAUAAUCACUAAGAGGUCUAGGUGAUGAAGCUAUAAUCACUAAGGGGUCUAGGUGAUGAAGCUAUAAUCACUAAGGGGUCUAGGUGAUGAAGCUAUAAUCACUAAGGAGUCGAGAUGAUGAAGCUAUAAUCACUAAGGGGUCUAGGUGAUGAAGCUAUAAUCACUAAGGGGUCUAGGUGAUGAAGCUAUAAUCACUAAGGGGUCUAGAUGAUGAAGCUAUAAUCACUAAGGGGUCUAGGUGAUGAAGUUAUAAUCACUAAGGGGUCUAGGUGAUGAUAGAGGUCUAGGUGAUGAAGCUAUAAUCACUAAGGGGUCUAGGUGAUGAAGCUAUAAUCACUAAGGGGUCUAGAUGAUGAAGCUAUAAUCACUAAGGGGUCUAGUUGAUGAUAGAGGUCUAGAUGAUGAAGCUAUAAUCACUAAGGGGUCUAGGUGAUGAAGUUAUAAUCACUAAGGGGUCUAGAUGAUGAAGCUAUAAUCACUAAGGGGUCUAGGUGAUGAUAGAGGUCUAGGUGAUGAAGCUAUAAUCACUAAGGGGUCUAGGUGAUGAAGCUAUAAUCGCUAAGGGGUCUAGGUGAUGAAGCUAUAAUCAGUAAGGGGUCUAGGUGAUGAUAGAGGUCUAGGUGAUAAAGCUAUAAUCACUAAGGGGUCUAGGUGAUGAAGCUAUAAUCACUAAGGGGUCUAGGUGAUGAUAGAGGUCUAGGUGAUGAAGCUAUAAUCACUAAGGAGUCUAGGUGAUGAAGCUAUAAUCACUAAGGGGUCUAGGUGAUGAUGGAGGUCUAGGUGAUGAAGCUAUAAUCACUAAGGGGUCUAGGCGAUGAAGCUAUAAUCACUAAGGGGUCUAGGUGAUGAAGCUAUAAUCACUAAGGGGUCUAGGUGAUGAAGCUAUAAUCACUAAGGGGUCUAGGUGAUGAAGCUAUAAUCACUAAGGGGUCUAGGUGAUGAAGCUAUAAUCACUAAGGGGUCUAGGUGAUGAAGCUAUAAUCACUAAGGGGUCUAGGUGAUGAUAGAGGUCUAGGUGAUGAUAGAGGUCUAGGUGAUGAAGCUAUAAUCACUAAGGAGUCUAGGUGAUGAAGCUAUAAUCACUAAGGGGUCUAGGUGAUGAUGGAGGUCUAGGUGAUGAAGCUAUAAUCACUAAGAGGUCUAGGUGAUGAAGCUAUAAUCACUAAGGGUCUAGGUGAUGAAGCUAUAAUCACUAAGAGGUCUAGGUGAUGAAGCUAUAAUCACUAAGGGGUCUAGGUGAUGAAGCUAUAAUCACUAAGGGGUCUAGGUGAUGAAGCUAUAAUCACUAAGGGGUCUAGGUGAUGAAGCUAUAAUCACUAAGGGGUCUAGGUGAUGAAGCUAUAAUCACUAAAGGGUCUAGGUGAUGAAGCUAUAAUCACUAAGGGGUCUGGAUGAUGAAGCUAUAAUCACUAAGGGGUCUAGGUGAUGAUAGAGGUCUAGGUGAUGAAGCUAUAAUCACUAAGGGGUCUAGGUGAUGAAGCUAUAAUCACUAAGGGGUCUAGGUGAUGAUAGAGGUCUAGGUGAUGAAGCUAUAAUCACUAAGGAGUCUAGGUGAUGAAGCUAUAAUCACUAAGGGGUCUAGGUGAUGAUGGAGGUCUAGGUGAUGAAGCUAUAAUCACUAAGGGGUCUAGGCGAUGAAGCUAUAAUCACUAAGGGGUCUAGGUGAUGAAGCUAUAAUCACUAAGGGGUCUAGGUGAUGAAGCUAUAAUCACUAAGGGGUCUAGGUGAUGAAGCUAUAAUCACUAAGGGGUCUAGGUGAUGAAGCUAUAAUCACUAAGGGGUCUAGGUGAUGAAGCUAUAAUCACUAAGGGGUCUAGGUGAUGAAGCUAUAAUCACUAAGGGGUCUAGGUGAUGAUAGAGGUCUAGGUGAUGAUAGAGGUCUAGGUGAUGAAGCUAUAAUCACUAAGGAGUCUAGGUGAUAAAGCUAUAAUCACUAAGGGGUCUAGGUGAUGAUGGAGGUCUAGGUGAUGAAGCUAUAAUCACUAAGGGGUCUAGGCGAUGAAGCUAUAAUCACUAAGGGGCCUAGGUGAUGAAGCUAUAAUCACUAAGGGGUCUAGGUGAUGAUAGAGGUCUAGGUGAUGAAGCUAUAAUCACUAGAGGUCUAGGUGAUGAAGCUAUAAUCACUAAGGGGUCUAGGUGAUGAAGCUAUAAUCACUAAGAGGUCUAGGUGAUGAAGCUAUAAUCACUAAGGGGUCUAGGUGAUGAAGCUAUAAUCACUAAGGGGUCUAGGUGAUGAAGCUAUAAUCACUAAGGGGUCUAGGUGAUGAAGCUAUAAUCACUAAGGGGUCUAGGUGAUGAAGCUAUAAUCACUAAAGGGUCUAGGUGAUGAAGCUAUAAUCACUAAGGGGUCUGGAUGAUGAAGCUAUAAUCACUAAGGGGUCUAGGUGAUGAUAGAGGUCUAGGUGAUGAAGCUAUAAUCACUAAGGGGUCUAGAUGAUGAAGCUAUAAUCACUAAGGGGUCUAGGUGAUGAAGCUAUAAUCACUAAGGGGUCUAGGUGAUGAAGCUAUAAUCACUAAGGGGUCUAGGUGAUGAUAGAGGUCUAGGUGAUGAAGCUAUAAUCACUAAGGGGUCUAGGUGAUGAAGCUAUAAUCACUAAGGGGUCUAGGUGAUGAAGUUAUAAUCACUAAGGGGUCUAGGUGAUGAUAGAGGUCUAGGUGAUGAAGCUAUAAUCACUAAGGGGUCUAGGUGAUGAUAGAGGUCUAGUUGAUGAAGCUAUAAUCACUAAGAGGUCUAGGUGAUGAAGCUAUAAUCACUAAGAGGUCUAGGUGAUGAAGCUAUAAUCACUAAGGGGUCUAGGUGAUGAUAGAGGUCUAGUUGAUGAAGCUAUAAUCACUAAGGGGUCUAGGUGAUGAAGCUAUAAUCACUAAGGGGUCUAGGUGAUGAUAGAGGUCUAGUUGAUGAAGCUAUAAUCACUAAGAGAUCUAGGUGAUGAAGCUAUAAUCACUAAGGGGUCUAGGUGAUGAAGCUAUAAUCGCUAAGGGGUCUAGGUGAUGAAGCUAUAAUCAGUAAGGGGUCUAGGUGAUGAUAGAGGUCUAGGUGAUGAAGCUAUAAUCACUAAGGGGUCUAGGUGAUGAAGCUAUAAUCACUAAGGGGUCUAGGUGAUGAAGCUAUAAUCACUAAGGGGUCUAGGUGAUGAAGCAAUAAUCACUAAGGGGUCUAAGUGAUGAAGCUAUAAUCACUAAGGGGUCUAGGUGAUGAUAGAGGUAUAGGUGAUGAAGCUAUAAUCACUAAGGGGUCUAGGUGAUGAAGUUAUAAUCACUAAGGGGUCUAGGUGAUGAAGCUAUAAUCACUAAGAGGUCUAGGUGAUGAAGUUAUAAUCACUAAGAGGUCUAGGUGAUGAAGCUAUAAUCACUAAGAGGUCUAGGUGAUGAAGCUAUAAUCACUAAGGGUCUAGAUGAUGAAGCUAUAAUCACUAAGGGGUCAGGUGAUGAUAGAGGUCUAGGUGAUGAAGCUAUAAUCACUAAGGGGUCUAGGCGAUGAAGCUAUAAUCACUAAGGGGUCUAGGUGAUGAAGCUAUAAUCACUAAGGGGUCUAGGUGAUGAUAGAGGUCUAGGUGAUGAUAGAGGUCUAGGUGAUGAAGCUAUAAUCACUAAGGGGUUUAGGCGAUGAAGCUAUAAUCACUAAGGGGUCUAGGUGAUGAAGCUAUAAUCACUAAGAGGUCUAGGUGAUGAAGCUAUAAUCACUAAGGGGUCUAGGUGAUGAAGCUAUAAUCACUAAGGGGUCUAGGUGAUGAAGCUAUAAUCACUAAGGGGUCUAGAUGAUGAAGCUAUAAUCACUAAGGGGUCUAGAUGAUGAAGCUAUAAUCACUAAGGGGUCUAGGUGAUGAUAGAGGUCUAGGUGAUGAAAGCUAUAAUCACUAAGGGGUCUAGGUGAUGAAGUUAUAAUCACUAAGGGGUCUAGGUGAUGAUAGAGGUCUAGGUGAUGAAGCUAUAAUCACUAAGGGGUCUAGGUGAUGAUAGAGGUCUAGUUGAUGAAGCUAUAAUCACUAAGAGGUCUAGUUGAUGAAGCUAUAAUCACUAAGGGGGUCUAGAUGAUGAAGCUAUAAUCACUAAGGGGUCUAGGUGAUGAUAGAGGUCUAGGUGGUGAAGCUAUAAUCACUAAGGGGUC